GUCUGGUGCCAGCAGCCGCGGUAAUUCCAGCUCCAAUAGCGUAUAUUAAAGUUGUUGCAGUUAAAAAGCUCGUAGUUGAACCUUGGGCCUGGUUGGCCGGUCCGCCUCACCGCGUGCACUGGUCCGACCGGGUCUUUCCUUCUGGGGAGCCGCAUGCCCUUCACUGGGUGUGUCGGGGAACCAGGACUUUUACUUUGAAAAAAUUAGAGUGUUCAAAGCAGGCCUAUGCUCGAAUACAUUAGCAUGGAAUAAUAGAAUAGGACGUGUGGUUCUAUUUUGUUGGUUUCUAGGACCGCCGUAAUGAUUAAUAGGGAUAGUCGGGGGCAUCAGUAUUCAAUUGUCAGAGGUGAAAUUCUUGGAUUUAUUGAAGACUAACUACUGCGAAAGCAUUUGCCAAGGAUGUUUUCAUUAAUCAGUGAACGAAAGUUAGGGGAUCGAAGACGAUCAGAUACCGUCGUAGUCUUAACCAUAAACUAUGCCGACUAGGGAUCGGGCGAUGUUAUCUUUUUGACGCUCGGCACCUCACGAGAAAUCAAAGUCUUUGGGUUCUGGGG
rnacentral:rRNA from 1 species